UACGUAGGGCGCAAGCGUUGUCCGGAAUUAUUGGGCGUAAAGGGCGCGUAGGCGGCCUGUUAAGUCGAACGUGAAAUCCCCGGGCUCAACCCGGGAACUGCGUCCGAUACUGGCAGGCUUGAAUUCGGGAGAGGGAUGCGGAAUUCCAGGUGUAGCGGUGAAAUGCGUAGAUAUCGGAAGGAACAUCAGUGGCGAAAGCGACUUCCUGGACCAAUACUGACGCUCAUGUGCGAAAGCGUGGGGAGCAAACAGG
rnacentral:rRNA from 1 species